CUGUCAAAUAAAUAAAAUCUUUAAAAAAAAAAAAAAGUCAGUCCAAGAGGGGAAACCUCUGGCAGGAUGUCCCCCAGGUCCUUUCCAGUAUCUUUAGUGUGAGAAUGUCCCUUCCUUUGCAGCACUCCAUUCACUCCUUCCUAUGGGAUGCUUUCAUAUUGUUAAGUGUGUCUACAGGACUGAUGGAGGGGUUUGGCUUUGGGGCCGGCUAAAGGCGAAGAAGCUUGAAUUCUCUCUCUACUACUAGGUUUCAACAGCUGCCAAACAAGGGAGAGGGUCAGGAACCAGAUUCUGGGAGACUCUGACUUAGAAAUCCCUUUUCCAGUUUUGCUCUAGAGCCAAGGAAAAAAAAACUAUUUGAGGUUGGGUGGAGGCAAGAAGAGGGGCUCAUUCCACAUACAACCAAGCCGGGAAAUUAGAGGGGAAGACCCUCCCACUAGGUUUCAGAGUGGCCCCCAUAUUCCUUCCCCCAGCCCCACCCCGCGUGCUGAUGAGGGCCGGACUUGGGGGGCGGGGCGGGGCCUCUCCGCCCGCGUGGUCCGUCGCCUUGACGACCUGGACAAGAUGGCGACGCUGCAGGGCGGGCUUCUGGGGCCGGACCCCGGGGCGCUGAGCCCCGCGCAGCAGGAGCAGCUUCGCAACUUCAAGAUUCAGACUCGGAUUGCUAACGAAAAAUACCUGAGGACCCACAAAGAAGUGGAGUUGCUCAUAAGUGGUUUCUUCAGAGAAAUGUUUCUGAAAAGACCAGACAACAUCCAAGAAUUUGCCGCAGACUAUUUCACGGAUCCAAGACUUCCCAACAAGAUUCACAUGCAGCUAAUUAAGGAGAAGAAAGCGGCUUAAUUAGCAGAAUCAUGAUGCUCAGCUGUUGAGAGAGACCAGAAAGAAUCCAGCCUCAGGAGCCGAGUGGCCAUGGUAAAGCCGUGAAGCGACAAGUAGGAGGGUGCCCGAGCCAGUUCUCCAAAGUGGCAGAGAGCAAAGAUCAGAAGACCGAGGUCCUGGUGGCAUCUUUGAGCACUUGAACAACCCAGCAAAUACUUGCCUUCAGACUUCUUGACAAGUGAGAAAAAUACAUCUCUAAUUUGUUUUGAAAGCACACCAGAGUUUAAUCCCGACCCACCACUUACGAGAUGUGUGGCCUUGGCCAAGCCACUUAACUUUCUUGAGGUUAGGUUUCUCAUCUAUAAACCAAGACGUGUAAUUAGCAGCACUUAGGGCUGCUGGGUUGGGAAUAAGGAAGGGACAGUGCCUGGCACGUGGGCAGUGGUCACAAGGGGGUCUGACUGGAGGUGGGUGCGAUGUAGGGAUAAGAGACCAGACAGGAAGCUGGGACCCAUCACAAGGAGCAUCGCACUCGAGGCACAGGAGGCUGAUCUUUAUCAUGUAGGCAAUGGAGAGCCAGCAAAACAUUUUAAGCCAAGAGGAGUUCAUGAAGAGAUUUGCAUUUAGAAAGUGCCAGAGUGUGGAAGACAAACUAGAGGGAGCUGACUACAAGUGGAAAGACCUGUCGUCCCAGCCGCCACCACCUCUCACCACGGCCCCUCCUCACUCAGGGCUCAGCGGGCCUGGGGUACCCCUGCCCACUGUCAGCUGAGAGCCCGCCCUGCACGCAGCAGAAAACCCAGUUCAUAGCGGCUGGUGCAGAUGGAGGCUUAUUUUUCUCUCCCAAUAGAAUGUCCGGCUGUAGGCAAGACUCAAAGGUUCAGUGGUGUCCACAGGCCCCAGACCAGGCUUCCGUCCCUUCCACUUGGCCGGCUUUAGCCUGUGGCCCCACUGUUGCGAGGGGCUGCUUCUGUUCUCCAGCAGGGAGAAGACAGCAGAGCCACACCAGCUGAGCCCGUCCCUUCUUGUCAGGAAAGCAAAGUUUCCCUGAAUGUCCUUUCCACCCACGUCUCACAGGCCAGACCAGGGUCCUGUGGUCCACCCAAGUGCUCCGGAGACGGGCAAAGGGAAAUUUAACUCGAGCUUCUAGAGAAGACGGUGUCCAGAAAAAAGUGGGAUUUGCUGUUGGGUCAGCCCUAGAGCAGCAUCUGCCCUCGCUGGUUCCUUCUCCCUGUCCCGGCUAGAAUGACCCUUUA